UGGGUUUCUCAUGAAUGGUUUAGCACCAUCCGCCUUGGUACAGUCCUCCUGAUAGUGAGUGCAUUCUCGAGAGAUCUGGUUGUUUAAAAGUGUGUAGCUUUUACAUGGCUGUAAGUUUCCUGGGGGCCCCUCCAGAAGCCCAGCAGAUGCCAGCACCAUGCUUGCUGUACAGCCUGCAGAACUAAAACCUCGAGGUCAAAGAACUUGUGUAAUACUGGAGAAAAGAGUGCAUACAUGAAAGAGAAGGACUGAGAUUGUGUCUAAGAGAAGCUACUGAAUCAGAUGUUUUAAGUCCAUGUAUGGAAGGAAAGAGUUUUCUUCGCGCGGCCGUAUUUUCCUCUGUCGGUGACAGCUCCUCCGAGAACAGCUCUGAACUCUGUGUUGAUAGUGAGAAAGAAUAUUUACUUUCCCAAAUUAUUUGACCCUACCAGCUGUAUACAUUGGUGGUCCAACAUCAAAGACAAUUAACAAAUCCACUAAAGACACAAGGACAGUUUUUGAAGUCAAAGUUGUGCAUAUAUUUUGUGUAACUAAGAUCCUCUACCUUUAAUUAAUUAAAGCUAUUGGUGGCUA